AUACGUAGGGGGCAAGCGUUAUCCGGAAUCACUGGGUGUAAAGGGUGCGUAGGCGGUAAGACAAGUCAGAUGUGAAAACCCCCGGCUCAACCGAGGGCAUGCAUUUGAAACUGUAAUACUAGAGUGCAGGAGAGGAAAGCGGAAUUCCUAGUGUAGCGGUUAAAUGCGUAGAUAUUAGGAAGAACACCAGUGGCGAAGGCGGCUUUCUGGACUGCAACUGACGCUGAGGCACGAAAGCGUGGGUAGCGAACAGGAGUAGAUACCCUGGUAGUCCACGCCGUAAACGAUGAGUGCUAGGUGUCGGGACCGACAGGUCUCGGUGCUGAAGUUAACGCAUUAAGCACUCCACCUGGGGAGUACGAUCGCAAGAUUGAA
rnacentral:rRNA from 1 species